UACGUAGGGACCAAGCGUUGUUCGGAUUUACUGGGCGUAAAGGGCGCGUAGGCGGCGUGACAAGUCACUUGUGAAAUCUCUGAGCUUAACUCAGAACGGCCAAGUGAAACUGUUGUGCUAGAGUGCAGAAGGGGCAAUCGGAAUUCUUGGUGUAGCGGUGAAAUGCGUAGAUAUCAAGAGGAACACCUGAGGUGAAGACGGGUUGCUGGGCUGACACUGACGCUGAGGCGCGAAAGCCAGGGGAGCGAACGGG
rnacentral:rRNA from 1 species